rfam:Rhabditophanes sp. KR3021 genome assembly, scaffold: RSKR_contig0000035
GCCUAUUUAGUAUAGUGGUUAGUACUUCUCGUUGUGGCCGAGACGACGUAGGUUCGAUUCCUGCAAUAGGCA